AUUAAAAUGCUUGUUUUGGUUAUGUUUAAGGGAACUCAUAAUUUUUAUCUUUGUCCACUGUUAGCUAUGUAAAACAACUCAAUAAAAGUUCACUUUUCAAUGCUUUAAUAGUUCAAUUGGUAAAAAUAGUAGGUGUUUAUUCUACAAAAAAUCACUGAGUUUUUUAUAUGUAAAGAAAGAAAUGGAAAUCUGUAAGUUCAUACAGGGACAUAUAUAUGGGGAACUUGCAUCCAGCACACGAGCAUUUGCAUCCACCACUAAGGGCAUUUGCAUCCCACACAUGAGCUACGUGCUUGACAGUUGCACACUGCCGCCAUGAACAUGCACAAAUGAUAUUAAGUAGAAGUUUGUUGGUUCAAUUUUUUUAUUGAUUUACCUUGUUUAAGUAGUAAUGCAGCAAUAAAAUGUGUAGUUGUACUGAAGUUUUAGUUGUUAUGUGGGGAACCCGGAGGCCAUUUAUUUUGGUUUAAGUUCAUCUUGUCUGUUCUUUUCAGUCUGUAUGCUUUAUUGUGCAUAAUCUUGAGGAAAUCCCCAAAAAUCAUGUGUGCACUCAAGGUAAUUAAGUGGCUUUGUAAAUUCUGACAGUCCAUCCCAGACUAAGCAAACAGUACAUGUUAGUCUUGGUUUGUGGUUAGACAUGCAAUCUGGUUUCAUAGAUGCUUCUGCUCAGACUGGAAAUACUAUGUUUUAGAUUCGGAGUUUAUAACACAUCAUUGGAUUUGCCAAGGCCGUGUCCUCCUAAGAUAAGAAGAGCGACAAGGAGAUGGAGAGCUCGGUCUUUUUUUCGUGGAGCUGGCGCUGCUGCAGUACGGCCUAGUCCAGUCUAAGCCCUCCAUGGUUGUUGCUGCUGUUUCGGCAACCAGGAUCACCCCCGAAGAAGACCCCUAUGUGGACUGACAAUCUAAAUUAUAGAUUUUCCAGAUCGGGGAAGGUGCGGAGCUUGCCUGAUUGCUUGCUAUUUUGCAUGUUCUGUUUACCCACUAUGCAUGUGUUGCUGCUUCUAGGAGCCCUAAAUUUAGGGUCAGUACCACGCCGAUAAGCCAGGCAGUCGGCCUUUGCAUCACGAACUGAUGCAGUUUGAUCUUGCGCAAGUGGGAAAUUCCCUCAUGCCGAGUGUAUCAGUAACACCCUACGCUCCAAGCAUGCCUCCUCCUGGUCGCCCAUCAGUUCUCUUGUUCCUUGCCGCUUCUCCUAACAUCACCAUAAAAGUUUUGCUAGGAAAAAAAUGUGUGGAUAAAAAGAAGAUUGCAGUGACAGUAAUUUUGGUUGCCAUUUCUCUCUAUAGCAGAUUGCAUCCGCACAAAAAAUGCUACUGCAGUUUACUCUAUGUAAAAAAUGUAUAAGGUUCAAUUCACAAAAACAUGUGGAAGUUCGUUUGGGAAACUCUGCAUUCUAUUUGAUUACGCCAAGAUGUACAGGAUGACUAUUCUUUAUUGUGUGCCUUCAGUACAAUUUAAAUUUACUAUUUUACCA